UACGUAGGGACCGAGCGUUGUCCGGAAUCAUUGGGCGUAAAGAGCGUGUAGGCGGCUAUUUAAGUCCUGCGUGAAAUCCUGCGGCUCAACCGCAGACGGUCGUGGGAAACUGGAUGGCUAGAGUGCGGGAGAGGAGAGUGGAAUUCCCGGUGUAGCGGUGAAAUGCGCAGAUAUCGGGAAGAACACCCGUGGCGAAGGCGGCUCUCUGGACCGCAACUGACGCUGAGACGCGAAAGCGUGGGGAGCAAACAGG
rnacentral:rRNA from 1 species